rnacentral:ncRNA from 1 species
ACAGUACAAUCUGAGCAGGCGAUGGACGGCGCGUCCAUGAAGCCGGGCCGUAAAAACGCGGCAGCAGACAGCGUAACCGCGCGUCUGUGGGACAGU